rnacentral:lncRNA from 1 species
CUGGACUCCAAGCAGUCCCUGUUGUCUUUCUGGCCUGUAUCCCAGCGCCUGGCACUGCCUGGAUACUCGGCGGGCGUGCCAAGCAUUUUUAUCAAAGGAGAGAGUGCCUGGGACUCCUUGAUCUGCACCCACCUUCAAGACACGGUUUUGCCAUGUCGCCCAGGCUGGUCUCAAACUCCUGGACUCAAGCGACUUGCCUGCCUAGGCCUCCCAAAGGGCUGAGAUUACUGGGGUGAGCCGCCGCGCCUGGCCCAGGGUUUGUUUUUGUUUGCUUGCUUGUUCAGUGUCUGUCUGUGGACUUGUCUGGGAUCCAAAGAACAGGUGAAAAAUUUGUUUCGGGGAACACGGGCCUAUAAAGACUCCGCCAUGCCUGUACUCUGCUUGCCCAACACUGACCACACCCACUGCCAACACCCAGAACAGGCUGUCUGCUGGGUACCAGCCCACCCGUGCCCGCCUCACCCUAGCUGCAGCCUCCCUGUGCCCGCCUCACCCAGCUGCAGCCUCCCUGUGCCCGCCUCACCCUAGCUGGAGUCAGUUUCUGGGCUGCAGUGGGAGAUCUCCACCCGGGACACUGGCACUUCUCCGCUCAUCGUCACAAGCGUAGGCCUGUGGAGUGAUGUUUUAGACACGAUAGUGAGCAAGGGCAUUUGUGCGCAGUGAGGCCUGCUUCAAGCACUUGGAGACGAUCCCCGGAGCAGCGCCCCCACCGGCUCUGGCAGCAGCAGAGAGAUGAAGAGAAUGGUACCCAGAGUCUUGUUUUCAAACCCGACCAACACCAAUAUCUUCCCAACUCUGCUGUGCUGGAACAGCUCCCAAAGAGGCCUAUUUUUACCCAUACUGAAAGUCAACAUCAAACACAAAUUGGAGGGCAAAG